GAGCUCACUUCAGCAGCACAUAUACUAAAAUUGGAAUGAUACAGAGAUUAGCAUGGCCCCUGUGCAAGGAUAACACGCAAAUUCAUGAAGCUUCCAUAUUUAAA